UGUGAUGCCUUUCUUUGGCAAAGACUUGGCUGAGUUGCUUAAGAGUCUACUGAGGCGCUUUGUUAAAAGGCCGGUCCUGCAAGACAUCACUGCCCUUCAGCUUACCACACUGGACCUGUCUGACAAGAACUUGCUCCUCUUCCCACAGAAGGUUGACAUCGGCUUGGGUGCUGAGGAAGCUCUCAAGGGGAUACCAUUGUCCAACAGUUUGAGUCUUUCCUGUCUGUUGAGGCAAGGAACGAAGAACUUCUCAACUUCCAGCCAUUUGAGAACCGACUAGACACCUUCCUGCAUGAGAGGUUAAGCCGUCCCUAUCCUGCUGCUUGGGAUUUUUGCCAGAGGUUGCUCCUUCUUUCACAUGGGCAGGCCUCCGUUGAAAGGGGAUUUUCUGUUAACAAGGAGGUGGAGAUCGAAAACAUGCAUGAGGAGACCAUCGUCACAAAUAGGCUGAUCUGCGACCAUGUAGAGAUGCAUGGGGGUGUGACAAAGGUUCCCCUCACCAGAGAGCUCCUAACAUGUGUGGGUGCUGCCCGCUCAAGGUACCGCAUCUUUCUUGAUCAGGAGCGUACCAAGAAAGAAUCGGAAAUGCAGAGCCUGAAGAGAAAGCUGGCAGAUGAGGGUUUAGAGCAACUAAAAAAGAAAAAGACCAGUUUAAAGGAGGUUUCCGACUGUCUUGCCACGGAGGCAGACAUGCUUGCCGAGGAAGCCGAGGGAAAGGCUGGCUCAAAGAUGGCCCAGCUCCUCUCCAAGUCAAAUGCCCUCAGAAGGGCG